CCUACGGGAGGCAGCAGUGAGGAAUAUUGGACAAUGGGCGCAAGCCUGAUCCAGCCAUGCCGCGUGCAGGAAGACGGUCCUAUGGAUUGUAAACUGCUUUUAUACAGGAAGAAACACCUCUACGUGUAGAGACUUGACGGUACUGUAUGAAUAAGCAUCGGCUAACUCCGUGCCAGCAGCCGCGGUAAUACGGAGGAUGCAAGCGUUAUCCGGAAUCAUUGGGUUUAAAGGGUCCGUAGGCGGUUUAAUAAGUCAGUGGUGAAAACCCCAUCGCUCAACGAUGGAACGGCCAUUGAUACUGUUAAACUUGAAUUAUUAGGAAGUAACUAGAAUAUGUAGUGUAGCGGUGAAAUGCUUAGAGAUUACAUGGAAUACCAAUUGCGAAGGCAGGUUACUACUAAUAUAUUGACGCUGAUGGACGAAAGCGUGGGGANCGAACAGGAUUAGAUACCCUGGUAGUCCACGCCGUAAACGAUGGAUACUAGCUGUUCGGAGCAAUCUGAGUGGCUAAGCGAAAGUGAUAAGUAUCCCACCUGGGGAAGUACGUUCGCAAGAAUUGAAACUCAAAUUGAAUUGACGG
rnacentral:rRNA from 1 species